UACGUAGGGGGCAAGCGUUGUCCGGAUUUACUGGGCGUAAAGAGCGCGCAGGCGGUCGUACAAGUCGCGUGUGAAAGCCCCCGGCUCAACUGGGGAGGGUCACGCGAUACUGUUCGACUCGAAGGCAGGAGAGGGUAGUGGAAUUCCCGGUGUAGUGGUGAAAUGCGUAGAUAUCGGGAGGAACACCAGUGGCGAAGGCGACUACCUGGCCUGUUCUUGACGCUGAGGCGCGAAAGCUAGGGUAGCAAACGGG
rnacentral:rRNA from 1 species